UGAUAGCCACUUGUAUCUAUUCCCAAAC
rnacentral:piRNA from 1 species